rnacentral:rRNA from 1 species
GAGUUUGAUUCUGGCUCAGAAUGAACGCUGGCGGCGUGCCUAACACAUGCAAGUCGAACGAGAAAGUUCCUUCGGGAAUGAGUAGAGUGGCGCACGGGUGAGUAACGCGUGGGUAAUCUACCCUUGGAUUUGGGAUAACUUCGCGAAAGCGGAGCUAAUACCGGAUAGUCUGGCUUUGUAAAAGGAGUCGGUAAAGGAUGCCUCUGCAUAUGCAUUCGUCCGAGGAUGAGCCCGCGUCUCAUUAGCUAGUUGGUAGGGUAACGGCCUACCAAGGCGACGAUGAGUAGCUGGUCUGAGAGGAUGAUCAGCCACACUGGGACUGAAACACGGCCCAGACUCCUGCGGGAGGCAGCAGUGGGGAAUAUUGCGCAAUGGGCGAAAGCCUGACGCAGCAACGCCGUGUGAGGUAUGAAGGUUUUCGGAUCGUAAACCUCUGUCAGAAGGGAAGAAGUGAUGCGGGUCCAAUAGGCCCGCAUUUUGACG